CAUAAUGCAUCUGCUCUGCUGCUCUGAGAGCAUUUAUAUCCCUGUGAGUUUAACACUUCAUGACUGAGAGCUGUCCUUCAUGACAACAGAACCCACAACAACCAUGACUUUUAUCACCAUCUUCAUCUGGACACUUGCUUUCUACAUCAAAGAAUCUAGAGAACAGAUCACUGUGACUCAGAUACCUGCAGUGAAAACUGUUCUCCCAGGACAGACAGUCUCUAUGAACUGUAAAGCCAGCAUUGAUGUGCAAACUAACUGUUGGAGUUCAGGUAAACCAUGUUUAGCCUGGUAUCAACAGAAACCUGGAGGUACUCCUAAACUACUGGUCUACUACAGUAGCACCCUCUUCUCUGGGACUCCAUCUAGAUUCAGUGGUAGUGGAUCUGGGAGUGACUUCACUCUGACCAUCAGUAGAGUCCAGGCUGAAGAUGCAGCAGAUUACUACUGUCAGAGUUUCCACACUGGUAAUGUGUUCACACAGUGAUACAGAGCCGUACAAAAACCUCCCUCAGUCAGACUGCACAGUGACUGUACUGCUACAGCUGGGACCUGCUGCAGGUGCUGAGGGGGGGACAGUGAAAUGGAACACUGGUCACUAGAUGAGGUCAACUAUGACGUGACUGUCACAUGUGAUGACGCUGGAGUGACGAAGCAGGUACGGGGAGUAGAAUGUUUAAUAAAUAACGAACAUGGAACGAGAUAGGAACAGCGUCAGCAAACUAAUACUGAAGACAAAAAACAAUCAAUGCAGCAGCGGGGAACAGAGCUGGCGAACUGACAAAUAAAAGGGAGGAAAUAAACAGGUGAUAAGUGAGUCCAGGUGAGUCAAUAACGUUGAUGCGCGUGACAAGGGAAUGCAGGUGUGCGUAAUAGAUGGCAGGAGUGCGCGAUGAAGGGCAGCCUGGAGCCCUCAAGCGCCAGGGGGGGAAGAGCGGAAGCAGAUGUGACAGUGACAAUAUGGUUAGAAGCAAUCGUUCAGAUCACAUGACCAUCAUCAUCAUCAUCUUCAUAAUCAUCAUGGUUGGUACCAUAGAACUAACAAAAAUAUCAAUGCAACAUGUGAAGUGUUGGUCCCAUGUCUCAUGAGCUGAAAUAAAAGAUCCCAGAAAUGUUC